CGCGUAGGCGGCCAGGCAAGUCGGCUUGUGAAAGCCCGGGGCUCAACCCCGGAGGUGCGGCCGGGACUGCUUGGCUGGAGGCCGGAAGAGGAGGGUGGAAUACCCAGUGUAGAGGUGAAAUUCGUAGAUAUUGGGUGGAACACCGGUGGCGAAAGCGGCUCUCUGGUCCGGUUCUGACGCUGAGGCGCGAAAGCGUGGGGAGCAAACAGGAUUAGAUACCCUGGUAGUCCACGCCCUAAACGAUGCGGGCUAGACGUCGGGGGGCAUGCCCCUCGGUGUCGCAGCGAACGCGUUAAGCCCGCCGCCUGGGGAGUACGGCCGCAAGGUUAAA
rnacentral:rRNA from 1 species